UGCGGAGUGGGAUAGAGGUCUAGUCCGCUUGGCUCAUAACCAAGAGACCGCUGGUUCGAAUCCAGCCUCCGCUACCA
rnacentral:tRNA from 1 species